AGCUCCAAUAGCGUAUAUUUUAGUUGUUGCAGUUAAAAAGCUCGUAGCCGUAUUUCUGGUGGGAGAAUGCAGUCCGACUUUAUGUCGGUACUCGCAUCCUCCGGCCAUCCUUGGGUCUAGCCAGUUUGGCAUUAAGUUGUCGAGCUGGGGAUGCCCAUCGUUUACUGUGAAAAAAUUAGAGUGUUCAAAGCAGACUUAUGUCGUUGAAUAUAUUAGCAUGGAAUAAUAAAAUAGGACAGCAGUGCUAUUUUGGUGGUUUGCGCACCGAUGUAAUGAUAAAUAGGAACAGUUGUGGCUAUUCGUAUUCAUUUGUAAGAGGUGAAAUUCUUAGAUUAAAGGAAGACGAACUACUGCGAAAGCAUUUAGCAGGGAUGUUUUCA
rnacentral:rRNA from 1 species